UGCUUCAGCGGAUGAUGGGUCAGCUCAUAUGACUGGCUCACUAACGCACACUUAAUGGGUCAGCGUGUGUUUUGGAUACAAUACCUCAAAGCUUACUUCAGUGGUAUCCGUGACACACUAAUAUACGCUUGUUUCACUGAACAAUUAGACAGUGUAUGAUGGACUCACUAGCACACUAGGUCAACGUGUGUUGGACUUAAUGACAUACACUUACUUUAGCUGUCAUUAAGAAUCAAGGACGCCCCGGCUCAUGGAGAAAGAAUACAUCGAAGAUACUCUAGGAGGUGGGUAAAAGAUUCAGUGCUGUUGUAUCAUGGGUACGCUUCCCAGCACUGAGUUACUUGCAGAGGGAGCGCCUUCGAAGGAGAAUCCCUCCAAUAGAGCAAGAGAUAUACGUCGAAUAGAGCACAAUCCUCUACUGCCGUAUAUACUCUUUCAAAAGAAAGGGGCUAAACCCUUGAGAGUAAUACAGCACAUAUGGAGCUUCUGAUGGUAAGAUUUGCUGUAGAUUCAAGAAGCAACUUGUCUUGAGAGUUCUUUUUAGGUGAAAAUUAACAAAUUAUUUAAUUCCAGACUAUUAUAAGGACAUAGGUAAAUGUAAUUCGUUGAUGU